GCCUCGAUUCCAGGCCACUGAGAAAGGCGGCCUGGUAUACACUGUUUACGCAUGCGCCAGAAUUACCAAGAAUCUUGGUAAUCGUAAAUUGUAGUAUAUUUAUCAGUAUUCUUAUUCCGCAUUUAGUUGUAAAACAUUGAUAUCCGUUUCAUUUAUAAUGAUGUCAUUGAAAAAAGAAAUCUAGUCCAAGUUGUGUAAUGGCUGCUAGCUUCUCUUCUGCUCUCGUGUACACGUUAUCCUGUGUUGGAAAACCAGGUCUAGUCUUGAAAGACAAGCAGCUGGAGGCGUUGAAGUGUCUGUACGCUGGUGUUUAUGUGGGUACCGUACCGACCGGCUAUGGAAAGUCCCAGAGCAAUUAAGUCCAUCUGCUUUCCAGACACUCCCUUUCUUGAUUGAUGUGAAGCUUGACAGGACCAGUGCACCUCUCUCUGAAAGAAGUGUUGUGAUGAAAGAAGUGUUGUGAUGGUGAUUUCUCCUCUUGUUUCUCUGAGUGAAGCCAUCUUCAAAGUGUUAGUGUGUCUGUUCGACGUUCAGUGCCAUUCUCUCUGGAAGGAAGUAUUGUUGUGACAUUUGCCAAACAUUGGUCACAGAGUAAGUACGUGGUAUCUGAUCCGAGAACUUUGUGGCCUGAAUGUGUUUACAAUCCGAGGGACUUGUUGCUUGAGUGUGUAUCCGGACUUGUUGCUUGAGUGUGUAUUAAUGGAUAGUGCUUUCAAUGGUUUAACUAAUUUCUUAUGAGAUUAACUUGUCGCCUGAGUGUGUAUCCGAUCCGAGCCUCAAGUUAAUGAAUAAAUCUACAGAGCUGAUGUUUUACUUAGCUGUCUCUGUCUACAGUAUAUACAGAGAGGUAGCCUCUCCUUUUUCUUUUUUCUGUUCUUUAUCACAAUAAGAUAAAAUACUGUUUUAACGUUCAA